rnacentral:misc_RNA from 1 species
GCAACAGCAGGAGGGAGGCCGACCUCCCGAUUGCACCCUCCUGCCGUCUCUCUAUCCUCUGUGUCACCUCCCAUCCCCCAAAUGGCGCACAGCGUGCCCCCUUCUUACACGGGUGAGUCUGUGCGCAGCUCCAUUUGCCGUCUCUACGGCCAGCGCUCCGACGUGCCUCUCACCGUUCUGCAUGCCACCGUCCCACCGGUGGCGGCAAGCCUCGCCCAACAGAGUUCAGACGUCCUCGACGCUAUCCUCAACUGCAUUCACAACCAGCUGUACUCCAAGCACUCAGCCGUGGGCGAAAAUGUGGACACGCGCUCUUCCGCGAUAACGAACCACUGGCUGCUGAGCGUGCCCGAGUCGCUGCGGUUUGAUGAGGCGGCAGUGGUGAACUACCUUGGUAUGGUGGUGGCAAUCGACUUCUGCCACUGGGCCGAGGUGCCGUGCGAGGCUGGCGGGACCGCCAUCGCUAGCGUAGGAGAGGAGGUGACAGGGUUUGCAGGGUUUUACGCUGCUGUUGAUCCGCCGAGCGUGGCGUCGGCACUGGGGAAUGGAGGCACAACUGAUAUCGCUGCGGUCGUAGAGUUAUUCACCGAGCCGCCGAGCGCAGCCCCAAAGGAACUUGGCACACUACCAACGGCCGCUGCCGCUGCUCCGACGCUGCUGCGGGGCUCCGCAGCUAUGAUGUAUCUCCUCCGCCGCGCUGUGGAGGUGCACCGCCUUCCGUGGUUUUGCCCUGAAUUCCUUCAGCGCUUUCGUGGGGAUACGGCGGCGGCAACGAGUGCGCUGCGCGUAUGCUUCCUCGGAUGCGAACAGGACGGCGUCACCCCGCUGUGGAUGCCGUGCACCCGCGAGCGCGUCGAGCUUCUGCUGUCGCUGGCCGAUGCUUUUGUCGCGCGCCAAACGUCAUACUACAAAUUGCUUCGCGCGUGUGGCGGCUUCCUUUUCGCGCCUGACGCAGCGGCGGCCGCCACGGCGCCUUGUGGAUUUGUGCCGACCCUCGUGCGGCUUCACCCACGAUAUGCCGACUUUGCGCGUGUGCCUGUGGAAGGGCCUGGCUGCCUUGGCGGGAAUACCGGCGAGACCUCCCCAGAUGUGUGCAUUGUGCCAGUGUUGAAGCUCAGCCAGCUGACGGCGUUGGCGAUCGAGCAAGCGCUGCCGGCGUUGUGGCGGUACCAGGCUGCGAGCAGCGCUUCUUCAAAAUCGCCGCUCUCUAAACCUCCGCCUUCCGCCCCUGCGAACUCCUGGCUGACGGAUCGAGCCGCUCGCAUCGCGCGCGCCGGUGCCGAGUCCCGCACGACAGAGCCGGAAUCGUCGCUCUCCGGCGUCUUCGCCGACAGCGCAAAGCUGUCCAUCUGCUGCGAUUAUCAAAUUCCCAAGGCGCUGCGCGCAGCGGGACUGCUAGUCUACGACGACCACCUCGCUCGCAUUGUGGACAGGCACGUUCUCCUACUGCCGGGCUCGGCAGAGGAGGUGUCCAUCCGCGUGGCAACCUUGAUCGCCGCAGAGCGUCUCUUGCAGUUUCUCAACACACCGCCGCAGCGACAGUCGUCGCUUGCAAGGGAGCCUGGCUCCACGGCAGCAGAGGUGCCAGGGGCCCCGGCGCAGCUACCAGUGAAGAGGCUGUGCAGUGUGAUCCACCUCGACUACGCAUUGUGGUACGUGGGACGCUAUAUGCUCCCAAGUGAGGCGCGCCAUCAUCUGUGCCGAACCAUCAUGUACUGAGCAUGCAAACCUGAAAGAAACUGUGGUCGUGUCGCGCGGCGUAUGCAAGGAGGACAUGCGAGAACUCUCUGCCCGCCAUCGCAGCUGGCGAUAGGAUGGCGGUUGCACUGUGUUUUUUUUUUGGAUCACUACCCUGCAUCUAUCGCUUCCUCGUCACUGCCCUCCGCCACUACGCAGGAAUAGGAGAAGGUGGUGCGUGGCUCGCUUAGCGGUGCAACUCACCAGCAGCGCGUUUUCGGCUCCCCUUCCCUGUUGACUAACGACGAAACAGGCGGUGAGGAGAUGCCCCCCCCCCCUUUUCCCACACUUCCCCGAAAAAAAGAGGCAGACCUUGGACAACAGGAAACCAGCAAAGGCAGGUGAAACGGGAAAGAGGCAAUGCCGGCAUGCCAGUGCUGAGGCGUUGGCUGAGGGAGAGAGAGCGGAUGGUCAUGGCCGGUGCGUUCGAGGACACACAUGACUCUCUCUCUCCCCCUUCCCAAUCCUCCCCCAUUCUCCCAGCAGCGUUGGACGCGCCAGCGCCCUUCUCCGUCCGCCCGGCUCCUCCUCUCGAUGUGUUCCAUGAGGUGGCUGUCCCGCUUUCUUUCGUCUGUUUGGCCUAUUCAUUCUUGUGCAACCCCCCUGCCUCUCCGCACCGCCUGUUCACCUCCACUUCUGUGUCUCUGGUUUACUCUCUGAUUAUGCGCCGACACCAAAAACGCACGUUGGCGUCGUCGUUGCACGGCCCUUUUUUUUGUUCAUUUUUUUUUUCUUCGGCCCAAG